rnacentral:tRNA from 1 species
GGGUAUAGCUUAGUUGGUAGAGUGCUUGCCUCAAAUGCACAAGAUCCUGGGUUCAGAUUCCCAGCACCACA